rnacentral:lncRNA from 1 species
UGAAUUACCGGUUUAGCCGAUCUCGUAUUAUUUCUCUCUUCAUCUCUGAAAAGACAUUGUGCGAGCUCUCGACUUCUAUAGUUACUGUCUUGCCUCCGAGGCUGUUCACGAAGAUCUGCAUCUAGAAACAAAAAGAUGAUGCAAAUCUUCGUCAAGAGCAUUGGUGGCAAGACACUAACUUUCGACACGUGGGCAGUUGAAGGAAAAGAUGGAAGAAGGAAUAACGAAUCGAAGAGAAAGAAGGUCAGACUCUGUUCUUCAGUUCCUAUUCCAGUUAUUGGUAUUUGCUUAGCUGGAUCUUUGAUUUAUUUUUGCGCAUGUCUAUUGUGGAUAUCGGAAUUACAAGUUUGUGGCGACACUAAACAAAAUCAGUGGAUGAUUUGAGCUUUGAUUGAUUGAGACUAUUGCAUUUUGUUAUGUCUAAUUGUUUCUGAGGAGCUUUUGAUUUCGAUUUAGGUUGCUUUUUCUUCUGCGAGUUUCUUUAGAUAGUUAAAAGUUUUGAUUUUUGUAAUAAAAAUUUAAAUUUUACUUAUUGAUGUUUACUAUCAAACCAAAACCUCAAUAUGUAGAUUCUUGACCUUUUCUAGUUAGAGACUGUUCAUCUUCUUUGUGCAUGUAUUAGAUGAAUGAUCUAAGUCCAUUUCUUAAUUGUUCUGUCUAUAGAUUCAGGUAACCAUCAGCUCAAUUUUCUUUCCCUUUUUCAUCUUUUGUUUUGUAUACACACAUAAUAGAAAUACAAUGUAACAUAUAUAAGUAGGGUUUACUUAUUUGAUAUUUCACAUCCAUUUCAGUGAUAAUGCUAUUCAGAAAAUUGCUAUAACCGUGAACUUUAGUUUCUUACACAUCCAAGUGAGAUACAAGAUGAAGAAGAAGAAGAGCAACUUAGUAUCGGUGUUCCAUGGAACAGAUCUGAGAGGUAGUUCUCCAAGUUAUCAGGCUU